AGUGAACGCUGGCGGCAGGCCUAAUACAUGCAAGUCGAACGGCAGCACAGUGGAGCUUGCUCCAUGGGUGGCGAGUGGCGGACGGGUGAGGAAUACGUGGGAAUCUGCCCAGUCGUGGGGGAUAACGUAGGGAAACUUACGCUAAUACCGCAUGCGCCCUUCGGGGGAAAGCCGGGGACCUUCGGGCCUGGCGCGAUUGGAUGAGCCCACGUCGGAUUAGCUAGUUGGCGGGGUAACGGCCCACCAAGGCGACGAUCCGUAGCUGGUCUGAGAGGAUGAUCAGCCACACUGGAACUGAGACACGGUCCAGACUCCUACGGGAGGCAGCAGUAGGGAAUAUUGGACAAUGGGCGCAAGCCUGAUCCAGCCAUGCCGCGUGAGUGAAGAAGGCCUUCGGGUUGUAAAGCUCUUUUGUCCGGAAAGAAAAGCUUCGGGUUAAUACCCUGGAGUCCUGACGGUACCGGAAGAAUAAGCACCGGCUAACUACGUGCCAGCAGCCGCCGUAAGAC
rnacentral:rRNA from 1 species